rnacentral:sRNA from 1 species
ACCAAUAUAGAGUUACAUAUGAUUGCAUUUUAAUAUACCAAUUGUGAAUAUAUAUCCAAUUAUAUAUGAUUGGAAACCAGUUUGAUGGUAUGAUUUUAAUUUUAAACACAUGUUCCAAUUUCACAUACUGAUUUUAAGUUUCAAUAACUUUUAAAACAGAAAUUCAAGGAUUCUCAUUCCAUUUCUAUUUGUUUGUAAAAGGAAACUUGAAUCAUUGUUUGUUGUUCUAUUCAACAAGUGUUUUUUUUGUUCAUUUUGGUAUAGGUAAGCAUAUAUUUUCCCUUUAUAUCUUGUUCAACUUUUUGACAAUUUUUAGUUUAUAGGAAAAGUAGAUUUCAUUUGUGUAGGAUUAUAAGAUAAGGUUGAAUUGAUAAAUUUUUAUGUUUGAUUACCAAAAGUGGCAAAAGAAAACAUUAGUUGACUAGUGUGACACACAACACACACAAAAAAGUAAUAAUAUAUAUAAUAGCAGAGUUUUCUCUCCUCUAAAAGUGUCCACGUCACUACAUCUUUUUAAUGUGGAGCCCACAUGUUUUUACUCGCCUUCACAUUUUUUCUAUGCGUGAAAUAGAUUUAGUGAUGUUUAUGGGGCCACGAUUUGGUCAAAAAGCCCAUGAGCCAAAGAACCAAAUAGACUUAGUGAUGUGUAUCGGGCCAAGAUUUAGUCAAAAAACCUAUGAACCGAAAGGACCUAAGAAAACCCAGUUAAAAUUGCAAACCCUUGAUUUCAUUUUCUCCUAUUCGAUCGACGCAAUUCAGAGGACGACGAAAGAGAAAAAGAGUGUUUCAGUCACUGCCCUGUUGAUGCACGAAUUUCAACAAAGUAUAUUUGUAAGUUCUUUGAUAAGGGAAAAACAUUCUCAUCGCGUUGAAGGUCGGGAGUUAGGUCGUUCUUGCGAUAAACAUAGAGUUUAUUAGUUUUAUAGCUGCACCUUGUAAAAGGCUGCCUACGUACCCUUAGAAAAGGGAUCAAGCCAUACGUAGUUCAUAUUAUAAUAAGUGAGCUAGGUCAUCGUUGGAGGUAGGUCGUAUAUUGAGAUAGGCAGUUUAGAGAUGAGGUGGCAGGUUGGUGACGAGCUGGCAGGUAGGCGAAGAGCUGGACGAACUUAGUUACGAGGCGAACUGGUUGAUAGACAACGAGUUAGACGAACUGAGUAUUUGAGUGACGAGCUGGUAGCCAGGGGCCAAGCUCGACGAAAUGUAGUAGAGAGACGAGUCGGACAAAUCGAGUUGUCUGGUGAAAAUCUAGACGAGCUGGGAGACGAGAUAGGCGGACUGUGUAGUCAAUGGACGAACUGACAGCUAGGCGAGGAGAUAGAUGAGUUAACUUGAGGGACGAGCUGCUGACUAGGUGAGGAAUUGGACGAACUGACUAGCUGACAGCUAGGCGAGGAGAUGGUCGUUGAGUCAUGUGGAGCUUGAAGACGAUCUGAAGAACUUAAAGACGAGCUGUAGAGCUUAAAGACGAGCUGAGGAGCUUGAGGACCAGCUGAGGAGCUUGAUGACGAGCUGUGGAGCUUGAAGACGAGCUGAGGAACUUGAGGACGAGCUGAGUAGCUUGAGGACGAGCAGAGGAGCUUGAGAACGAGCUAAGGAGAUUGAGGACGAGCUGAGGAGCUUGAUGGCGAUCUGAGUACCUUGAGGACGAGCUGAGGAGCUAGAGAACGAGCUGAGGAGCUUGAAGACGUUUUAAUAUGGAUUUCUUCCUCCUUUUUUCCAUGCCUCUCUAUUUAUAGAAAAACUAAGCUCACUACAUAAAAGGUAUAAUAUGGUACUUUAACCUUGAUCAUUGUGACGUUGGUCUCCACCAUAUUGGCAUAGCAGCUAACGGAGGCCAGCAAUCUACAUGUAUGUCAUGCUAUUAUUAUGUAGAGGAAGGACUGAAGAGGGAAAAACCUAUAUGAGCCAACUUGAAUGGGCUAAAGACACCACCAUGGCUGAAACGUGUUGGAAACAAAUCAAAACUUCACUAAAUGGGAUUAGAGUGGCGAGAAAAAGAUUGUACAUGAUAUCACUUCGCAACAUGAAACCCCCCGACGUGUGCCAUCCAAGAGAUUUGGACAACACAUGUGAGAAAUGUUUUUUCUACAAACAAAUGUUUAAGUUUAUUUUUAUGGUAUAACUUAAACAAAACAUUUAGAGAGUUGGAAACUGUUUUUAAAAAAUUCCCUAUAAUGUUUGAGCAGUGAACUAUCACAAAGACUCAAAACAAAGUUAUUACUCUUAUUUCUUUUGCUUUAAUGUGUGUCUUUCCUUGCUGUUGUAAGGAAAUUUAUAUUUACAAUAAAAUCAAACUUUUAAUUAAUUAUCUAAGCAUAUCGUACUUUCAAUGUUAAUAUUGUUAUAAUCCAACUCUUUUUGGCUAAUUCGCGAAGAGACGUUGAAAAGUGAAAUCUUCCCAAAACCAAAGAGUAGUUUCUAAGAUUUUAACAGAGACACAAAGAGAAAAAACAAAUGGGCGGGUUCAUAUUGGGCCAAAAUUAACAAUGGCAACGAUGUGUAAAAUAACUUCGUCGUUAGUCUCUGUUCUUCGCUAUCCUCUGCAGCAACCGCUUAAUACGAGAGAGAGAGAGAGAUUUCCAUUGUAUUUUUAAUUUAAAAUAAAAUAUAUAAAAACAAGACCAAUGUAACAAAUGCAUUGCUUAGAUAUAUAUAACUCUAAAAAAUAUUCUUACAAGAUAGUAAGUUUGGUCUAUUGUCCUAUAAAUUCUAGCAUAUAACUGGUAACAAUAUGAAAAAAAAAUGUAAAACUAUACAUAGAUUACAAAAAUGUAGAAAUCAAAAAAUAAGAUUAGCAAAUAACAAAGAUAUUCACCUUUUAAUCAAAGAUCAGUAAAAAAAAUCGAAGUUAUAAUUACAUACUAACAAAACCAAAAACAAACCACCAACGCGCGUGUCUCCUCCCUAGUUAAUUAAAGGCAAAAGGAAGACGAGUAACACGUGGCAAAUACUCUAUCUGUAGCCGUCAUAAAAAAA